rnacentral:sRNA from 1 species
AUUCUACCCAUGUGGGGAAGGAUGAGAAGCUUCGACUAAGGUUCGAUUCGAGCGCAGCGAGAAAGCGUUGCCGCAGGCAACGACCCGAAGGGCGAAGCGCGCAGCGCUGAGUCAUCCUGCCCCCACCACCA